rnacentral:rRNA from 1 species
UACGGAGGGUGCAAGCGUUAUCCGGAUUCACUGGGUUUAAAGGGUGCGUAGGUGGGCAGGUAAGUCAGUGGUGAAAUCUCCGGGCUUAACCCGGAAACUGCCAUUGAUACUAUCUGUCUUGAAUACCGUGGAGGUGAGCGGAAUAUGUCAUGUAGCGGUGAAAUGCUUAGAUAUGACAUAGAACACCAAUUGCGAAGGCAGCUCACUACGCGAAUAUUGACACUGAGGCACGAAAGCGUGGGGAUCGAAACAAGG